UUUGAUCUUAGCUCCCCGUUCUCUUCAACAGAGGAAUGUUAAUAGUAGAGCUGGCAAACAGCGAAUGAAACAAGUGCAAGGGAGCAAAUAAGGAUAAAGGACCCAAUCCUGUUUUGAGACGCUGACUACUUUUAACUCCUGUUGACUCCUAUUCCUAAUGAGCAGGACAUAGGACACCAAUGUGUGCCUGGAUACACUGAAAAAUUAGAAGUUAUCUCGGGUGGGUUUUUUUGUGUGAUCAAGCACAGAAAUAAAAAUUUAGCAUUAUUUAUAGUAAGUAC
rnacentral:lncRNA from 1 species